AUCGCUUCUCGGCCUUUUGGCUAAGAUCAAGUGUAGUAUCUGUUUCUUAUCAGUUUAAUACCUGAUACGUCCUCCAUUCGAGGACUUUAUAUUAAACGGAUUUUAGAGCGAGGAGCUGGAAGAGGGGCUUGCUCCGUCCGCUCCACGCAUCGACCUGGUAUUGCAGUACCUCCAGGAACGGUGCACCUUUU
ensembl:snRNA U2 U2 spliceosomal RNA